UACAGAGGUGGCAAGCGUUGUUCGGAAUUACUGGGCGUAAAGGGCGCGUAGGCGGCCAUCUAAGUCAGACGUGAAAUCCCCCGGCUUAACCUGGGAACUGCGUCUGAUACUGGACGGCUCGAGUAUGGGAGAGGGAUGUAGAAUUCCAGGUGUAGCGGUGAAAUGCGUAGAUAUCUGGAGGAAUACCGGUGGCGAAGGCGGCAUCCUGGACCAUUUACUGACGCUGAGGCGCGAAAGCUAGGGGAGCAAACAGG
rnacentral:rRNA from 1 species